GCCUGAAAAGAAGAUGGUGGUGAUGAUGAUGAGGUGAAGGCCUGAGCUGGUUUCUGUUUCAGGUGCUGCAGAUGGGACUCAAGACGGUGAUAUGACGAGUUCUUCUGGUGACAUGAACAUUACUGAGUUCCCCUCUAACCCGUGUGAAGACCACGUCGAGGCUGAGGUAACGAGUUAAAGGUUCCUCUGAAGCACCGGGUUACAAAGAGAACUCCACGAUACCGACUUCAUCUCCAGACCUACAAAGAGUCUUCACUGCACUUCUGUGUCGAGUUCACUCCUUCUGAACCAUGAAAACUUAAAAACUGCAGUUUUUUCAGGUGUUCUACAUCCUAACUGCUCAGUGAGGUGCACCUGGCCUGGGCGAGAGGUGUUUAGAGAAGCACCUUCACCAGCAUCUGAACUGGAUUCUUCUGGAAUGUGGACAGCUGCUGUUGCUGCCUCUCAGCCUGGUUUGUCACCGUUUUGAACUUGCCAUCUUCAGUCGUGUUAAUUCAGUAUGUUGUCUUUGCCUUGAUGUUAAUUCAUCCCAUUUUCUGUGGUUGUUCUGGGUCAGUGUUGUUGGCCUCAUAAGACUGAUGAUGAUCAACUAGCUCAUUUGGGAUUAACUAGUUAAACUACACUGGUAAAUGUUUCACAGCACAUGGUACCCACCACCACAUCUCCAGCUUUUCUUUUAAUGAAGUUUUACCAACUGAGACAGAGUUUGGGUUGACCAGCGUCUUUCCUGCUUCUGCUCCUCAUCUCAGAGAGAGAUCUUUAUCUGACAGUUUUCAGAUUAAAGAGGUGUCUCCUGCGUGAUGAGACCUCAGGUCAGGUGUCACCUUUGCUGGGAUGCAGCACGAUAACUGGGCACCAGGACCACCUGAGAGUGUGAGAUGUGGUGCGGUUACCUCGAUGGCCUUGGUGACCAUGGUGCAGAUGAAGUCCAUGAAGCUCAGGUCCGUGUAGCAGUGAGUGAUCAGCGUUCCUCUGGACAACGGCACACCUGGUUUCUGAACAAACAACAGGACGUUGACAGGCAGCACCAUGAGCUGGGAGCUCUAACACACAGCGUGAGCAGAGUGUUCAGACCUGCAGG